CAAUAGCGUAUAUUUAAGUUGUUGCAGUUAAAAAGCUCGUAGUUGGAUUUCGGGUAGGAUUUGCCGGUCCGUCUUUGAGAUGUGUACUGGUAAGUCCUAUCUUCUUGUCGGGGACCAGCUCCUGGGCUUCACUGUCCGGGACUGGGAGCCGACGAAGUUACUUUGAGUAAAUUAGAGUGUUCAAAGCAAGCCUACGCUCUGAAUAUAUUAGCAUGGAAUAACACGAUAGGACUCUGGCUUAUCUUGUUGGUCUGUGAGACCAGAGUAAUGAUUAAGAGGGACAGUCGGGGACACUCGUAUUUCAUUGUCAGAGGUGAAAUUCUUGGAUUUAUGAAAGACGAACUUCUGCGAAAGCAUUUGUCAAGGAUGUUUUCAUUAA
rnacentral:rRNA from 1 species